GAGACCCACGCCAACAGUUGCCAGCACGUUCUCCGGAACGGUGGGGACACUGUUGGGACCGCCUCUGCUAAAGAGGAGGAAGGAAUGGGCAACGGUAGGUCAGCAUGCCCCGAAUUCUCCGGGCUACACGCGGGCUACAAUGGAUGGGACAAUGGGCUCCGACACCGAAAGGUGAAGGCAAUCUCUUAAACCCAUUCUUAGUUCGGAUUGAGGGCUGAAACUCGCCCUCAUGAAGCUGGAAUCCGUAGUAAUCGCGUUUCAACAUAGCGCGGUGAAUAC
rnacentral:rRNA from 1 species